UGAGUAACCUGCCCCUGACUCUGGGAUAACCCCGGGGAAACCGGAGCUAAUACCGGAUACGAACCACUCAGGCAUCUGAGAGGUUGGAAAGAUUUAUCGGUCAGGGAUGGACUCGCGGCCUAUCAGCUUGUUGGUGGGGUAAUGGCCUACCAAGGCGACGACGGGUAGCCGGCCUGAGAGGUGACCGGCCACACUGGGACUGAGACACGGCCCAGACUCCGUACGGGAGGCA
rnacentral:rRNA from 1 species